UAGACGCUUGCGUUCGAAAUUCGCAAGCGAUGCCUGAGCGUUCGUCGAUACGCGCGCGCGUUACGCGCGCGUGUUAUACGGCGUCGCUCGAAAUGAUGUUUCGAACGAACGCAGAGCCGACGACCAUUCGAACGCCACACGAAUCGAGAGAGUUGUGUGAGCGCGCGUAACCGUCGAGUCCCGGAGCUCUUUGCGCGUAAGCGCCGAGCGGACCGACGAGUCUCGCGCGCUCUCUCUCCCGUUUCGACGGAGUUGUCCGGCUUGUGAAACUAUUCAAACGACGACCUCAGAGCAGGCGAGACUACCCGCUGAAUUUAA
rnacentral:rRNA from 1 species